GUCCAAUGAGACUAUUCAAUACAGCAGAUUUACCAGCGCCAACAUUGCCAAGAGCGACGACAUUUAGGAAAGUGGAGGAUCGUCUGGAGGAGGAAGACGUCGUCGUUUCAUCAAUAUCUUCAUCUGCAAGCAACGAAGAGGCUUGCCUCAUAGACUCCGAUAGCUGUUGCAAUUCUUCGAUGGCUUCCAUAUUCAAUAUCUCAAUCUAACUAUCAAUCUAUACUUCUAUGGAUUUACAGAUUCCAAACCAACGAGGCACAAAUUUUG
rnacentral:misc_RNA from 1 species